rnacentral:hammerhead_ribozyme from 1 species
AUCCAGCUGACGAUUCCAAAAUAGGACGAAACGCAAGUCCUGGAU